rnacentral:lncRNA from 1 species
UCUCCUAUACUAAGCCAGGUGCCUGCUUAUAUGUAUGUUUUUCUAGCAGAUGGAGAUGCCACCACUGAUAGCCAAAACCUUGGAAAAGGCCCAGAGAAGCUUCCAGUACUUAUCCAGGAGACCCUGAUGUGGUAUUUAAUAUUUAUUUGUUGAAGACAAAAGUUAAAAAAACACAAGAAAAUGUGGCCCCAACAAUAGUCUGGAGGAUUACUAACAGCAAGAUUAUCUUCUAGCUUUCU